rnacentral:rRNA from 1 species
GAUGAACGCUGGCGGCGUGCCUAAUACAUGCAAGUCGAACGCAUAGCGAAAGGUGCUUGCACCUUUCAAGUGAGUGGCGAACGGGUGAGUAACACGUGGACAACCUGCCUCAAGGCUGGGGAUAACAUUUGGAAACAGAUGCUAAUACCGAAUAAAACUUAGUGUCGCAUGACACAAAGUUAAAAGGCGCUUCGGCGUCACCUAGAGAUGGAUCCGCGGUGCAUUAGUUAGUUGGUGGGGUAAAGGCCUACCAAGACAAUGAUGCAUAGCCGAGUUGAGAGACUGAUCGGCCACAUUGGGACUGAGACACGGCCCAAACUCCUGCGGGAGGCUGCAGUAGGGAAUCUUCCACAAUGGGCGAAAGCCUGAUGGAGCAACGCCGCGUGUGUGAUGAAGGCUUUCGGGUCGUAAAGCACUGUUGUAUGGGAAGAACAGCUAGAAUAGGAAAUGAUUUUAGUUUGACGGUACCAUACCAGAAAGGGACGGCUAAAUACGUG